AUUGAACGCUGGCGGCAUGCUUUACACAUGCAAGUCGAACGGUAACAGGCCUUCGGGUGCUGACGAGUGGCGAACGGGUGAGUAAUGCAUCGGAACGUGCCCAGAGGUGGGGGAUAACGCAGCGAAAGCUGUGCUAAUACCGCAUGUGAUCUGAGGAUGAAAGCGGGGGACCAGGCAGCAAUGUUUGGCCUCGCGCCUUUGGAGCGGCCGAUGUCAGAUUGGGUAGUUGGUGGGGUAAAGGCCUACCAAGCCGACGAUCUGUAGCUGGCCUGAGAGGACGACCAGCCACACUGGGACUGAGACACGGCCCAGACUCCUACGGGAGGCAGCAGUGGGGAAUUUUGGACAAUGGGCGCAAGCCUGAUCCAGCAAUGCCGCGUGCGGGAAGAAGGCCUUCGGGUUGUAAACCGCUUUUGUACGGAACGAAAAGGCUCUGGCUAAUACCUGGGGCUGAUGACGGUACCGUAAGAAUAAGCACCGGCUAACUACGUG
rnacentral:rRNA from 1 species